GCGCGCAAGCCCAGACCUAGAGGGCGGAAGUGUGUGACGUCACCCACCUGCGCACUUCCUCCUUCCGGCCCUGGCCUGCGUAGGCCUUGGUUGUGCAGUUGGCGAAGGGAAGGGCCUGAGCCAGGGGAGUGUAACGCUUUUUUGGUUUAGUUGCUGCUCAUAACAGCUGUGCGGCGUCGGGAAGCACUGUGCGGAAAGGCAAAUUACGGUAAAAGUAGGUCCCAACUCUACCACAUGGCCAGCUAAUUUAUCUCGCCUUCUGAACCUGUUAGCUCGGCUCAGAAAAGGAGGCCAUCGUAUGUCUUAGAAUAAUACCAGCUUCUUGGAUUGCUGUGAAGAAAAACGAAGAGCCAACCCUCAAAUUCACUUGAAAUUUCAAAGAGCCCAGGACAUCCAAAGCAAUCUCGAAAAAGAAGAAAAAGUUGCAGGACUGAGAUUUCCAGAUUUCAAAACUUACAAAUAGGGCGGCCACAGUCCUGACUGCCUUCCA